UUAAAUUGAAGAGUUUGAUCAUGGCUCAGAUUGAACGCUGGCGGCAGGCCUAACACAUGCAAGUCGAACGGUAACAGGAAACAGCUUGCUGUUUCGCUGACGAGUGGCGGACGGGUGAGUAAUGUCUGGGAAACUGCCUGAUGGAGGGG
rnacentral:rRNA from 1 species